GAUGAAGAACGCAGCGAAAUGCAAUAAGUAAUGUGAAUUGCAGAAUUCAGUGAAUCAUCGAAUCUUUGAACGCACAUUGCGCCCGCCAGUAUUCUGGCGGGCAUGCCUGUUCGAGCGUCAUUUCAACCAUCAAGCCCCAGGCUUGUGUUGGGGACCUGCGGCUGCCGCAGGCCCUGAAAACCAGUGGCGGGCUCGCUGUCACACCGGGCGUAGUAGAUUUUAUCUCGCUCAGGGCGUGCUGCGGGUUCCGGCCGUUAAAAAGCCUUUUUUACCCAAGGUUGACCUCGGAUCAGGUAGGAAGACCCGCUGAACUUAAGCAUAUCAAUAAGCGGAGGA
rnacentral:misc_RNA from 1 species